rnacentral:ncRNA from 1 species
GUGUUGUAUGAAAGGAAAGGUUAGCACACCCCUUGAUAAAGACAGAAGAGGCUCUAGAGCCUGACAACAUGAAUAUGGUUAAGGCACACUGCCACCUACUUCAUUGCAUCUAACCAUGUUUUUCG